rnacentral:rRNA from 1 species
ACUGUCUCCCCCCUCUAAUCAGUGAAAUUGAUCUCCCCGUGAAGAAGCGGGGAUAUAAAUAUAAGACGAGAAGACCCCAUGGAGCUUUAAACCCAACAACACCUAUCUAUUUUAUUCCCCCAUAUUUAUACGGUUAUGUUUGUUUGGUUUUAGGUUGGGGUGACCGCGGAGUAUAAAACAACCUCCACGAAGAAAAGACUAAUAAUCUUUAUCAGAGAAAGACAUUUCUAAGAAAUAAUAUAUUAACUUUAAAUGAUCCGAUAUUCGAUUAACGAAUCAAGUUACCCUGGGGAUAACAGCGCAAUCCACCUUAAGAGCCCUUAUCGACAGGUGGGUUUACGACCUCGAUGUUGGAUCAGGGUAUCACAGUGGUGCAGCAGCUACUAAUGGUUCGUUUGUUCAACGAUUAAAACCCU